rnacentral:rRNA from 1 species
AUUGAACGCUGGCGGAAUGCUUUACACAUGCAAGUCGAACGGCAGCACGGACUUCGGUCUGGUGGCGAGUGGCGAACGGGUGAGUAAUGUAUCGGAACGUGCCCAGUCGUGGGGGAUAACGUAGUGAAAAUUACGCUAAUACCGCAUACGAUCUAUGGAUGAAAGCGGGGGAUCGCAAGACCUCGCGCGAUUGGAGCGGCCGAUAUCAGAUGAGGUAGUUGGUGGGGUAAAGGCCCACCAAGCCAACGAUCUGUAGCUGGUCUGAGAGGACGCCCAGCCACACUGGAACUGAGACACGGUCCAGACUCCUACGGGAGGCAGCAGUGGGGAAUUUUGGACAAUGGGCGAAAGCCUGAUCCAGCCAUUCCGCGUGCAGGAUGAAGGCCCUCGGGUUGUAAACUGCUUUUGUACAGAACGAAAAGGUUUCUACUAAUACUAGGAGCUCAUGACGGUACUGUAAGAAAAAGCACCGGCUAACUACGUGCCAGCCGCCGCCGUAA